rnacentral:rRNA from 1 species
UACGUAGGGGGCAAGCGUUGUCCGGAAUCAUUGGGCGUAAAGAGCGCGUAGGCGGCCCUGUAAGUCCGCUGUGAAAGUCAAGGGCUCAACCCUUGAAUGCCGGUGGAUACUGCAGGGCUAGAGUCCGGAAGAGGCGAGUGGAAUUCCUGGUGUAGCGGUGAAAUGCGCAGAUAUUAGGAAGAACACCGGUGGCGAAGGCGGUUCUCUGGGACGGUACUGACGCUGAGAAGCGAAAGCAUGGGGAGCGAACAGG